CCUACGGGUGGCAGCAGUGGGGAAUAUUGGACAAUGGGCGAAAGCCUGAUCCAGCCAUGCCGCGUGUGUGAAGAAGGCCUUCGGGUUGUAAAGCACUUUCAGUGGGGAAGAAAGCCUUGGGGCUAAUACCCUCGAGGAAGGACAUCACCCACAGAAGAAGCACCGGCUAACUCCGUACCAGCAGCCGCGGUAAUACGGAGGGUGCGAGCGUUAAUCGGAAUUACUGGGCGUAAAGCGCGCGUAGGCGGUCUGAUAAGCCGGUUGUGAAAGCCCCGGGCUCAACCUGGGAACGGCAUCCGGAACUGUCAGGCUAGAGUGCAGGAGAGGAAGGUAGAAUUCCCGGUGUAGCGGUGAAAUGCGUAGAGAUCGGGAGGAAUACCAGUGGCGAAGGCGGCCUUCUGGACUGACACUGACGCUGAGGUGCGAAAGCGUGGGUAGCAAACAGGAUUAGAUACCCUAGUAGUC
rnacentral:rRNA from 1 species